UUUCUUUUAAAGCUUAUUUUGAAGACAUCACCCAAGGAGAUACACAAGCACAUGAAAAGACACUCAGCAACUUAGUCAUGAGGAAAUGCAACUUAAAAGCAUAUAAUAAGAUACUGUGAUGCACUGAUGACAACGACUAAAAUUAAAAAGAUGGACAAGAGUGUUUCAUACGGAGGAAGAAAUGUGCAUACAUUCAGCCUCACAGGCAGGAGAGGGCUGGGAUGGGGACUUCCUGGGGCUAGAACUCCGGGUAUGGGGGCAAUAGACUGAGAGAGAAAACUACAAUCUUAUCUCUAGAUCUAAUUGGCUUGUUUUUGUGACUCCUGAACAGAGGCACGCGCAGCUGUUCUACAGAACAGACCAAGAGCUCCCACUGGGCAGUUACAGAACAGUGGACUUGGGAGGUGGGGACAAGGGAAUAGAGCGAUAGAAAACCCUGCCUGCUUUGCAUCAGGUUGCGUAUUUGUGUAGAGCGAGCAGAGGGCACUUCCUCAUCAUGCCUGUGUAGAGAUUUAGCUAGUUGAUUUUUGAAAAUUUAUUAUGAUUGAUUGUUUUGAUUUGUUGAGACAAGGUCUCGCUAUGUAGCCCAGGCUGGCCUUGAACUUGCGAUCUUUCUGCCUCGGCCUCCCACGUGUGGCCAUUGUGAGGCAUGAGGACACAUGCCUGGCUUGAGACUUAGCCAUUACUUCUCUGUAUCCCGACAAGCACCUUGGUUUCUGGGUGCUGAUGUGGAACCCCAGCAGGAGACCCUCUGUUGAGGUUUGGUCCCCUGGCCCAGUGGAGGCACUCAGGCAGACCAAUGGCCCCUCGCAUUUUAUCUAAGACGCGGUUAUUCUGUGUGCAUUUUGUUUUUCUUUUUGAAACAAGGUCUUGCUAUGCAGUCCAGGCUAGCCUUAACUCACUGUGUAGCCCAGGCUGGCCUCAAACUCACAGUGAUCCUCCUGCCUCAGCCUUGAGAGUGCUGGGAUUAAAGGUGUGCACCACCAGGCCCGGCCUCUGUGUGCAUUUUGCUACCCGGGAAAUGAGCAGAGAAGGAGACAGGUGGGCAGGAAUGCAGGUGUCCCUGUCUGGAAGGGGUCUCUUCCUCUGUCGCUUCCUUCCCUCUUCUCAACACCCUGGAGAGUCAGGAAACUUGACCCCAGCUUUGCAGAGGGGACAGGAGGCUCUGAGCACCCAGCUGGUAGAUGAACUGGGCCGUUGGGGCUAGGGGUCCUGUGUCCAAAGUCUGCCAGAGCAUAGCUCCAGUGGAAACAAAGGCCAUCCCGAAGAGCUCUUUCUCUCCACAGCUGGAUUUCUCACCCUUGCUCUGGUCUGUCCCGAGACUGGCUUCUCUUGUGAGGACGCGGGGUGCCCAGAGGGUGAACCAGGUUGUGGCAGCCCCGGGGGGUCAGGAAAGGAAGGUGUCCUAAGGCAGAGGCAGAUUUAACCACAGAACAGAAGAGGAAGAGCCCUGGGCCGGUCCCCAGCUGCAGAGGGGCUGAUUACCCACCACCCCGCUCCUCCUUAUGUAGGAAAGAGAAUAGACAGGUCAGGGAAGCUCGGUGAUCAGCAGGAGAACGUGGUGGGCUUGGAGAAAGUACAGCAGCCUGGAACAAAGCCCACGGAGUGCAGAACAGAUAAUGGAUUGUAAAUAAUUCUCCAUGGGAUCAAGAUAGAGGACGGUGGUGGGUGACAAAGCCAGGGCAUGGACAGGCUUCCGCCUUUCUCCCCAGGAUGCAGAGAACGCAGGCUUGCAUGGUUAAGACCAGAGGUGACUGUGUUCCCUUCCCAUCCGACCCAGGCAGGCGGGAGCAGGCGGGACAGCAUGGGCGGGAGGACUGGAGGCUGAGCGGAGUCCAAGGCCACUGUGUGUGUCGGGCCCCGGGUCCCAUCCCCAGCACGGAAAGCCCCAGUUGUGGGGUUGUCAUGGGCCCCAGCAGCCCUGAGAACGUGAAGGGAGAGUAGGCGCUAACGGAGGAGCCAAGCUGGGAAGGGCGAGAAGAGGGCAGCCCUGAGUGCGACCAGGCACAGCACGGAGAGCGGAAGAGCUGAGCUCCAGCGUCCCCGGCGUCCGCGUGAGCUGCAGAGAGGCAGCAGUGCGGGGAGGGAGUCCAGGAGGGCGAGCUCCGUGUGUUUCACGGUGAGACCCUGCCUGCCAGGCGUCUGCUUGCUGCGGUUACCACGGAAACGCCAGACUCGCUCCAGCCCCUCUUGUUAAAGAGGAUGAGACUUCGGGUCAGAGAGCUGAAGAGACUCCUGUCUUUCCUGUGGGCAUCCUGGAAAAAUAUUAUAGUCUAGGCAUGGAGGUAAUCUGACAACGGGGACCUGCAAGAACUUCCAGGGCCAGCUCCUUCUGAAGAGGGAACAGCCAGCAAGGGCGUCUUCCCCAGAAAGACUUCUGCCAUUCGCCCGGCCCAGUGCUGUUGAGAGAGUCGAGGUUGGUGACUACUGUAUUAUUGCAUCUCUCAGGAAAGCCAAGGAGCAGUGCGGGCUGCUUCAUCUUCCUCACGCUGGCUAAUGUGCUCCUCAGAGAGACAUUCAAGCUACAAGGGAGCCCAGUUCUCAUGCGAAAGUCAUUUUAUAGUGCUAGUGUCAUGUUGGUGGAUUUAGUAUGUUCUUCAUAGAGGCGGCUCGGCCAGUGAAUUUUACAUUGAAGACUCCGCUUAUACUUCCUCUCGUGAUGACAGAGAGCUGGACCGGGGCUUUGGAGCCCUUUGUUAGCACAGUAGACAUUAGCUUUCUGUGCGAGAUUUUAGUUUUAGCAGUUGACAGGCCCGUAUGCAAUCCUAAUGUGAACACCAUAAGAGUAAGUGGAGGCUGGAGAAAUGUGUUAGUUGAUUACAUCCGAAAUGGAUUAUUUGUCUCAUCAGCAAGUAUUAUUUGAAUAAAAUACAAGAUGCUUAAGAUAAAAUACUGCUCUAUAAUAGUUUGCUUUCAAAGAUCGGAGAGGUGACUCUCACCAUUCCUUUGAG